ACGGAAGGCAGCAGUGGGGGAUAUUGCACAAUGGAGGAAACUCUGAUGCAGCAACGCCGCGUGAGGGAAGAAGGUCUUCGGAUUGUAAACCUCUGGUUUUGGUGAAGAAUUUUGACGGUAGCCAAAGAGGAAGCCACGGCUAACUACGUGCCAGCAGCCGCGGUAAUACGUAGGUGGCAAGCGUUGUCCGGAUUUACUGGGUGUAAAGGGUGCGCAGGCGGGACUGCAAGUUGGAUGUGAAAUACCGAGGCUUAACCUCGGGGCUGCAUCCAAAACUGUGGUUCUUGAGUGGAGUAGAGGUAAGCGGAAUUCCGAGUGUAGCGGUGAAAUGCGUAGAUGUUCGGAGGAACACCAGUGGCGAAGGCGGCUUACUGGGCUCUAACUGACGCUGAGGCACGAAAGUGUGGGUAGCAAACAGGAUUAGAUACCCUGGUA
rnacentral:rRNA from 1 species